GUGAUAUUACAGCAGGCAUACAAUAAAUUCAACACUUGUACAAAAUCUAAAUGCAAUUUUCUACACGAAGAGUGGACAUAAUGGAAUUUUGCUCAGUAUUCAUAUCCUGAACUGUAACAAUCUUCUUUAAUCCUUUGCACAUGAUGUCAGUGGGAAUGAGAAGGCUCUCAUGGAAUGGUUGGGAAUGGACUUUUUUCCCCAGGAGAGACAUUUAAAUGUAGAGAAGAGAGCUGUGGAGUUCUGACACUUUGUCAUGUUAAUUCUCCCCUCAAAAAAAGCUACAUUUUGAGGAGCACUCCUUUGUUUUCAGGGUUUGAUGUUAGAUUAUUCGAUCUUUACAAAAAGCUGUUACCUACAUUUGCAUUCUAUAAUUGCCUCUUUAUCUUAAAGGGUUUAUCAGACAAAGGAAGGAAUUCGAAUAGCUUAAAAUCACGAAUACAGACAUAAUCCACCUGGCUUCCUUGAUUUUUGUUUUUUUCUUUGGGGGGGGAAGGGUGCUAUUCUUCUUCUUAUUCUUAUUCUUCUUCUUAUUAUUAUUAUUAUUAUUAGAGCAACAUGUUGUGUUUAAUCCCUGACUAUGUCAGAGUUAGCUCUGGGAUUUUCAUAGACGAUUCAUUUGUUACUGGUGUGGAUCACCAUGGUGUCUAGGGCUGGAUCUGUGAGUUUAUUUUGUAUUUUUCAGGCUUUCAUGUAAGUUUUUUUUUUCUUACAUUAGAUUGCAUUAAUGUUAAGUUCUUGUGUUAUUUAGUUAGAGUUUAGUUGAGUCAUUUAUUCUAGUUCAUGUUUCAUCCAUGUCUCUGUGUUUGAGUCUUUUCCUGUGUUCUGUGUAAGUCUGUCUUGUCCUCUAUGUUUAAUCUUUGGCGAUGCUUUCAUCUCCCUUAUCUGUUCCCUUGUGUUCCCUUGUGUUCUGUGUCUCCCCAGUCUGUCGUGUGUGCAUUUCCAUCUUCUGACGUCAAGCUUGUGUUGUCAUGUCUAUGUUCCAUCAUGUUUCCUGUUUUAUUUUGAAAGUCUUAUAUUUCCAUGUUGAAUGUGUUUAGUUUUGGAUUUGGGUCCAGACCAUAAACACACCGGCUGCUCAGCCGUGACACAUGGUAGCUGAUGGUGUUAACCUAACCUGCUCUGCAGCACAUAUGUUCCAGCUUAGAGAUCAGCAGGUCACAAUCAAUCACAUGACCAUUUCUGGAAGAUCCCCCUAUUCUUUUUUUUAUUUAUUUUUUUAGAUUACAGGUAAAAUGUAUGAUCCUGAAUCUGUAAGUCGCUUUGUUAGUUGUUUAGUUCACAAGGACACGGAUACACUCUCACAGCAGACAGAAUAAUAAAAGACCAGCUUUUUAUCUGGGUUGAAUAAAAUAAAACCAAAUAAAUGCUAAUAUGAUUUUAGCUAUGCAGAUGCCAAAUGAAAGCAACAACAAUGAACAGCACUUGUUGGUGAAGUGGAAACAGAAGCGGAAGGAAACACCGCUGAAGACAAUCAAGACAAUCAACUGAAACAGCUAAGAGACAGCUAGCUUUGUAAAACUGAAGUGACAAAGUCCAG
ensembl:lncRNA